rnacentral:lncRNA from 1 species
UCUUGUUUCUCAAACUCUCUCAAACUCUGCGAAACCCUACUACUUAUCUACUAUUUUCCAACGCCAUCUCACCGGAAUCCAUGGAUUUUCAAGCCAUGGAUGGCAUGUACUCAGCCCUCCACUCUUAGAUGUUUGAUAUUUGAAGUUUUGAGGUCUUGCCUCGAUGAGGCCUGUUCAGAUCUUCGCCGAUUCAAGGGUCCAUGGCCUCUCCGGCCUUGCUCCGACAUAUCCAAAGCAUUUCGAGCCUGGUUCUGACUCAUCCGACUCAAGAUCGGACCUUUUACGAGCCUUUCUCAUUCUAUUGUUCUUCUGAAACCCUAACCCUUCGAGGUUUUCUCCGAUUUUCUUUUAGAUCUGUUGUGUAUAUAUGCUAUACUAGAGUUUUUGAACGAUUUCCCCAACUUUUCUUUCAAAAAUUACUUUCAAAAUCACUUCUUUUCGAUUUAGGUUUUUCUGAAAAUGCUUAAAAUGUUUCUCGGUCUUUUCUUUUCCUUUUCUUUUUGUGUAGUUGUCUCUACUGUGUUCCUAUGUUUCCCUUUUAUCAUGCAUGUUUUAAUACUGUGUUCUCAUGUUUUCUGUACUUUCUUCUACUAUGUUUUCUAUGCUAUGGUCUCAGAUGCCUUUUCUAUAUGUUAUGCUAUAUUCUAAUAUGCUUCGCCUAUUUUACCCUUCUACCAUGUUCUUAAGUGCUUACUGUUUUCUCUUCUACUUUACCUUGUUUUAAAUUUAUUCUAAAAAGACAUGCUUAAGCAUGUUUUCCUCUACUAUUUCUCCUACUCUCAUUAUACUUUGAAUUAGUUUCUUCAUUCUGUUUGCUUUGAACUUUCUACUAUUUUUGCUUGUUCUCUCAUGAGUUUCUGAAAGAAAUAUCUGAGCCUGCUUCGACUCAUCUAUGUAUUUGACUUGAGGUGGAAACCCUAUAAUUUUGGGGUUCUGCCGAGGUUUGAUCGUGUGAUCGAACUAGGGUACUAUUUGAGAACCCUUGACUCUUUCAGACUAAUUUUUUGAGUCUUUGAAUUGAGUUAGGACCCCUUUGUUUUCAUACAAUUCUGUACUUUCAAAUUCUUCUAAACUAGAUUCUUUCUACUGAUUUUGCAAAAGCAUGACAAUCUUUCUUUCCCGUGUCUGUAUGCUUUUAUAUGUGACUAAUCUUUCUUCAAAAGGGUUUUCAAGCUAGUGAUUGAUUCAGAAUUCCUGUUAAAAGGUUUUAAUUGAUUGUUUGCUAAUUUUUCUUAAGUUAAAAUCUUUCCUCUCUUUCUGACUUGGUUCAUUCAUACAAAAUCUUCGACUUCUGAUUUCUUGGCUGUUAAUUAAUUCUUUCCUUAAAUGUUACAACCAUGUACUGUCAAGACCCUGUCCUUAAAUAGCCUUUAUAUAUUUACUUCUUUUGUGCUACUUUGAAAAGGUUUUAAUCCAAAUUCUUUCCUUAAUUGCCUUCUACCCUUUUGAAAUAAAAUCCCUUAACUGAAAGGAAAUUCUAUGUGAUUGAUUGCAAGUUAUUUUCUUAUCUUUCUUACUUGCUUCUCUGCACUAUAAAAGGGAUUACCCUUCCGUAUUUUUGACAAACGGACAAUUAAAUACUUUUGCAACACACUUUGAAUUGCAUACUCUUACACACACACUCUCAAUUCAGCACUUUACACACAUAAUCUCACAGCUCUCUUCUAAGAUCUUCUUACUAUUUGCUAGCAAUUUGGCUUUACAAGACUACUGCUUUCCUUCUCUUGUUUCCCUGAAGCUGGUAUGUUCUAAUUUAGUUUUCAGCCUCAACCCCGAUAUGUUUACUUGCAAGCUUUUAUGUCCAUGCCUAUAUUACUAUUUUGUAGAGUUCAACUUCUAUGAUAGUAUGCUUAUGUAUUGCUAUCUAUUACUGCAAUGAAUCCCAUUCCCCAUACCUCUUUAUGUGCUUGAGUUGUGGUUUAAGAAUGUUUACUUACAAGCUUUUAUGUCCAUGCCUAUAUUACUAUUUUGUAGAGUUCAACUUCUAUGAUAGUAUGCUUAUGUAUUGCUAUCUAUUACUGCAAUGAAUCCCGUUCCUCAUACCUCUUUAUGUGCUUGAGUUGUGGUUUAAGACAUGGCAAUACACAAAGUUAUUGUCCAUGGAUUAAAACUGGAUCCUUUGGAUCUUAGGCUCUUUAGAUUUCCCAUACCUCAUUCCCUUAUGUGUGUUGAAUUGAGGUACAGUAUGCAGAUCUUUGUCUAUAAAGUCAGCAACAUUUUCCUUAAAAUCAAUGCAACUUUAUUAGAUAUCAUGUCUUUAGGCCUUACUUAGGCAAACUAUUAGGUGAUUAAUUAACUGUGUCAGUCUUUGAUACUACAUCUAGACAAGGCUAAUUCGGACUCCUCAUCUGAGAAAUACGUGAUGAAUCAGCCUAUCCUACACCUUUGGGAUCUUGAGUUCCCUCUGAACUUCGACAUCUGAGAGCUAGCAUUUUCACACUGCACUAUAAUCUAAUUUUGCAAUAUAUUUGGGGUGUAAGAAUUGCCAGGAGCCCUUUGAGACUCUUGGGAACUUUGACACAUCCCAAAAAGAGAAAGGUUUUGGAAUCCGAUCUCGGAAGUUGGUUUGUCUCAUAUUGUUAGACUUUGAGUCUGAAUUAUGCUGUUUAGAUGUAGCUGGAACUUCUGAUGUAAUUUUACUUUUUUUUUAUUCAUUCGGGCCUGUAAUAAUUUGUAAAAACUAUUGGGGAUGGUUAGUGGAAAGGGAGGGGGAAUGAAUGCAUGCAAAGGGUAGAAAACCUGCCUAUUGUUUAUUUUCAAUUUUUGCACUUCUGCAUUUUGAAAACAUGCCUAUAGCCUUUUUGCACUUCUGCAUUUCUGCAUUUAGAAAAUAUGCCUAUAUUCUUUCUGUAUUUCUGCACUUCUGCAUUUAGAAAAUAUGCCUAUAGCCUUUCUGCACUUCUGCAUUUAGAAAACAUGCCUACAGUCUUUCUGCAUUUCUACAUUUCUGCAUUUAGAAAACAUGCCUAUAGUUUUUCUUCACUUCUGCAUUUCUGCAUUUAGAAAACAUGUCUAUAGUCUUUCUGCAUUUCUGCAUUUAGAAAACAUGCCUAUAAGUUAUUUUCUGCACUUCUGCAUUUUAGAGAUUACGCCUAUAGGAUCUGCAUAUAAAAUCAUGUCUUAGGUUCUUUUACAUAUACACGCCAUUAGACAAACAAUCUUAGGCUUAAUAAUAACCAAUUCAUUCUAGAUAUCAUGUCUAUAGGUUCUUGCAAUUGUUUAAAAUCAAUGAUGCUUAGAGAUCAUGCCUAUAGGAUUAAAUUAACUGAAUCAGUUUUGAAUCUAAGACUAGUCUUAAAGACCACAAAUCUUUGUUUAUAAAGUCAGUGACAUUUUCCUUAAAAUCAAAUCAACUUUAUUAGAUGUCAUGUCUUUAGGCCUUACUUAGGCAAAAUAUUAGGUGAUUAAUUAACUGUGUCAGUCUUGGAUACUACAUCUAGACAAGGCUAAUUCGGACUCCUCAUAUGAGAAAUAUGUGAUGAAUCGGCCUAUAUUACGCCUUAAUUCAAUUCACACCAAACCAGUACUUCUAAGUCAUGCUAAAUAAUGUACGGCUUUGAAUGAGGAGGCCUACUUGAGCCUUAACUGCAAUUUGUUCCUCUUUUAACUAUUAUUUGUUAUUGCUUGUCGCCUAAAUUUUUAUCCUUUGGAAAAACUCUGAAAAUCCUUAAUUCCCUACCUUUUAGGAUUAAUAGUCUCAAUGCUCCCGAGACUUAUAGGAUUGGGAUGGGUAAUAGCAUGCAAUAAGUAACGAUACCAUUCCGCGCUUUAAUACCUCAAUGGGGUGGAAGGGCAGAUGUGGAUAUGAUGACUGGUGCAAUUAUAUCACGUGCGACCCCUCUUCUGAGGAGUGAUUGAUGGAUAUUGCAUCGAAGUGAUCCAUAUUAAUCACAAACCUAGGACUUCUUUCCUUUACUUGCUUUAUCUCUUUUGUAGAACCCUUUAAAUCUUUUUUAAAUUCUGCCUUCUCUACUUACUUUCAAAAGUUUUCAACCAAAUUGCAAUGUUAUAUGCGAGUCCUUAUUUUAGCCUUGAUUGUUUACUUGUAAAGUCACAAUUGUAAUAUGGCCAGGACCACACUAGUGGAUCUUGAGGGGUGCCUAACACCUUCCCCUCGAAAUAACUUCUAGCCCUUACCCGAACUCUGGUUUUCCAACUCAAAACUCUCUUAAAGUGUCCUAAUGCGUUAUAAUCAUUAGGUGGCGAGUCUUCAACUUUUAAACCCAAUUCUCAAAAGGGAAUAGAGUUGUUCUCCCAAUUUUAUAUACCCUAUUUCGACCCAUGUUAGAAAAAUGGGGCGUCGACAGAGGCUGUAGAACCUUUAGGAAAAACUGCACAUUCUUGAAUUCUUAUCGUGCGUCCUUGAUUUAGCUAGAAAUGUACCUUUUUGAAUUCCUUCCACGAAUUCGUAUGCGCAUGAGUACUUGGUAUCAGCUAAGCAUUGACAGCUUGUGAUUCCUUGAUUGAGGGGUGAGAUGUGAUCUCUGUAUGUUGAUGUUGGGCCAACCUGAAGGACUUGAGGUCGCGUUUUGCUUGUAGCUUGAACACUGAGGCGUUGAUUGUAUGAGCACGUGAUUUUAGAUUUGUAUGUCCGAUAGUGUCCCUAUUAGUGGAAGUAAUGGCUGGAUGACUAUGUGAUGAGUAUGAUGUGUCUUGAUUUUCAUUGUGAUUUGAUGUAUAGCUCGAGUUGUUGGCGUGUUGAAGGACCUUUCCAUGUUGCCUAGCUAGAAAUUAAAGUAGAUUUCUUGUUGCGAUACAUGUUCAGACUCAGAAAGAUUAAGUGACUGUGUAAUAUUUAUAACGGCGGAAGGGUAUAAGGAGAUGUUAGUUUGAGGCGAAGCAGGUGGGUUAUCUCAUGUAGAGUGUUCUAAAUUUUGUGUGAUCCUUAUGAUAUUUGUUGGAAGAUCUUUGUUACCAGUGAAAUAUAUGUGUUGCAAUUUGAAUUUGGGUCGCUUAAGAGAGUGGGCUUGUAUAUUACGAGGGUGAAUGUAAGAUUUGUAGAAGAUUUGGAGUACUAGAUGGGCUGUGUUGCACGAGAUUAUGAAAGAUUGAGUUUAAUCUCCCUCUUGUAUUAUGGCAGUAAUAGAGUAUAUUCAUUAUGAGUUAUUGUGUGUUUCGAUUUAUGGCUUUGAUCCAAGUGGGGGAGUAUGCUAUUAAUUAGUUGAUUUCAGGGUUAUGUGCUAUAUUGGUUCCAGUUUGAGGCGUAUUAGUGAAUUAGUUAUGGAUUACGGAGGUUGUGACCGAGGAUGGCCCGAGUAAAGGAAAUUUCAAUAAAGGUUAUGUUAUGCUUUAUGGGUGUAUGAGAAUCAUGGAAUGACUUGAGUUGUUAUUGGUUAAGGAUGUACAGUGCACAAAACAUGAAGUUGCUUGGUUUCAUACGUUCAUUAAGGUGAGGUUACAUUCUGCGGUAUCAGAGUGCUAAUGGAGCACAGGUCGCCCGGUUCAUUUGAUCGGUCUAAUUACGAUUUUAGUAGAGUGGAUGACUCUCGUGAAUGGUUCAAGUGGGGUUGAAUAUUUUACAUGUAAUAAUUGGAGAUUUUCAUGUUGUAUAUUUGUCUAGAAACUGAGGUUUGCAUUGGAGGGUCUCAAGACUUGUGGCAUUUCUAUAUCAAAAUGGUUUAAGGAAGUGGAAUUAGUUGUUGCUGAUUUGUUGAUUUGCAUUACUCAACUGCUACUGAUUCUUCCAUUCUUCUUUGCUUUAAUUUACCCAGGUAAUUCUUGGCUCUAAUUAGCAUGUGAAGCGUAAAAUCUGAAGCCGUGCAAUCAAGAUGGAAUUCAAGACACAUUUUUGUUCACUGAAUGUUGUUCCAUGUUCUAAGAUCCUGCAGUUCUACAGUAGUCUAAUUAUUUAUAUAUGUUUAUUUGUUCAAUUAUGAUUUAGUUUGAAUAUUUCUUGUAAUGUCUAGGUAAAUACUCUAAUUUAGCUCAUUGAAGUUUUAGAUUACUUGAAGCAUGUUAUGUGUGUGGACUAUCUGAAUUUACUGCAGCAAAGACUG